GACGAACGCUGGCGGCGUGCCUAAUACAUGCAAGUCGAGCGAACAGAUAAGGAGCUUGCUCCUUUGACGUUAGCGGCGGACGGGUGAGUAACACGUGGAUAACCUACCUAUAAGACUGGGAUAACUUCGAGAAACGGGAGCUAAUACCGGAUAACAUCUUGAAACACAUGGUUCAAUAGUGAAAGACGGCUUUGCAGUACCUAAUAGAGGUCUCCGUGUCGAUUUAGCUAGUGGGUAAGGUAAGGGUUUACCAAGCGAAGGUAAAGAACCCACCCGGGAGGGGUGAUGGCCCAAUCUGGAACUGGACCCGGCUCCAGCCCCCUAGGGGGGGCGCCAUAGGGGAUUCUCCGGCAAUGGGGGAAGUCCUAACGGGGCAACCCCGCUGGAGUGAUGAAGGUCUUCGGAUCGUAAACCUCUGUUAUCAGGGAAGAACAAAGGUGUAAGUAACUGCUCACAUCUUGACGGUACCUGAUCAGAAAGCCACGGCUAACUACGUG
rnacentral:rRNA from 1 species